GACGAACGCUGGCGGCGUGCUUAACACAUGCAAGUCGAACGGAAAGGCCCUGCUUUUGUGGGGUGCUCGAGUGGCGAACGGGUGAGUAACACGUGAGUAACCUGCCCUUGACUUUGGGAUAACUUCAGGAAACUGGGGCUAAUACCGGAUAGGAGCUCCUGCUGCAUGGUGGGGGUUGGAAAGUUUCGGCGGUUGGGGAUGGACACGCGGCUUAUCAGCUUGUUGGUGGGGUAGUGGCUUACCAAGGCUUUGACGGGUAGCCGGCCUGAGAGGGUGACCGGCCACAUUGGGACUGGGAUACGGCCCAGACUCCUACGGGAGGCAGUAGUGGGGAAUAUUGCACAACGGGCGGAAGCCGGAUGCAGCAACGCCGCGUGCGGGAUGACGGCCUUCGGGUUGUAAACCGCUUUCGCCUGUGACGAAGCGUGAGUGACGGUAAUGGGUAAAGAAGCACCGGCUAACUACGUG
rnacentral:rRNA from 1 species